GUGGGGCAGGGGUAAAUAGCCCAUAUAAUCCUUCUCCUCUCCACACUUCUGGCCCAUCUUCUCCCAAUUGUCUUUCAAGUAGAUAAGAUAAUUUACAACUUAAUUAUUUUCUCUAAUUAUUACGUGCAGCACAGGAGAACGAAAAUCACUUAGUAUGGAAAAAUUAUGGUUUGUUAUGAUACGUGAACGUGCUAUUGUGGGUUAGCAAGUUCCAUACAUUUAACUACUGUCCAUUAGUGUGCUUUAGACUGUGAAUUCAGAGGGAUUUGACUCAGUCCUUUGACCAGCAUUUGUUUAGUCAGCUUCUGUAUUCCCUUCUACAAGUUAUAAGCCUCAAGCCCAGUACACAUCUGCAUUUAGUGCCUUUAGCAAAGAGAUUUAAAGCCUCAAAAAUAUCAUUAUGUACAAGAGGCAUGCAGGGUGGGUGAGAUAAAAUAAUUGGUAGCAACAUUUCUCCAUUGGUGAGCAAAGGCCAACACAGCAGUUUAAACCCCAGAGCCCUUGGGCAGAACCCUAGAAAAUGUUCUGUUAUUAGCAGUGCCUUUUGGUAGGUGAAUAAAUGAACUCCUGAAUGGUGUUGGUGUAACUGCUGUGACUGUAAACAUAUGUGAAAGGAGAGAAAGCAAUCAUACAAAAACCAUGAUGACUGGAAUUUGUUGUCAGUUUUUCUUUUAAAAUAUUUCCACACAUUGAAUGCUACUUUCUUUCAUGGUAGAGUAGAUCACAGGAAAUUCAUAAUUGAUUAUGUUAUUGUAAAUCGUUUGCAGGUGAGAGAUAUUUUGUAUUUAUUACUUGUGCAGAAUCCAACAGUCAUGAGAUAAAAGGCUGAAUGGGAAUUUCACUUGAUGGAACACAUCAGAUACUCAUCUGUUGUGGGCUGCCAGUAAUGCAGCAGAAAUUCCAAAAGGAAAGGUAUUAGGUACAAAAUUCAGACCAACUGCAGCCUACGUUUCUGGAACUGGACAACAUGAAUCAGGUAAUCAUUUGUCUAUAUGUCUAUGCACAGUGUCAGCAUUGUGGGGUUGAGUGCAGGUGAUGUGGCCUUCUUACAGAUAGGAAUUCAUCUUCUUCCCUUCUGUUUCACAGAAUUGGUGCAAGAGAAGAGCCAAGCCUUCAAAAGCAGCUGCUGGAGGCUUUCAGAGUCCACAGUUUAUCAUCCUAACAUAUUCCAGAGAAAAUCACUGCAGAGUUGCACCUUCAUCAUGGCUUUCUUUUUUUUUUUUUUUAAAGAAGAACAGUAACUGUAAAAACUUGCUUUUGCAUAUUCAAAAAUGCCUUUGAAAACGUCGGUGCAAAGAAGGAAGUCACUGCAGAGAGUAAUUUCAGACACUUCAGUUUCCAGUGGAAAUGCAUAAACUGCUGAGAGGGGGCUGAACUGGUGGUGGGGUGAACAUUCUUUAGAAACAGUACAAAAUUACACUGAACCAUCAUGUUGAACAUGCCUAGCUGCAGAAACCUGCUGAGGUCAAUUAAAAUCUUGAUAUUCAUUUUCAUAGGUUUCAGAUUAACCUCAUCUUUAUUUUGUGGAAUUAUAUUACGAUGGAUUUAUUUUAUCCUCGGGCUUACGCGCUUCUGUCUUCACACUUAUUGUUAAGACUUCCAAUAAUGCUGGUUUUAAUUUGGCAUGCAAGUUCUAUUCCUCCCUGUGAGAAAUACGUAUAUAAUACAAAUAAAAGCCAGAAAGUGGUUACCUGAAGAUGAUGUUCUAAAGAAGAAAUGGUUGCCUGAAGUAAUGUUCUAAAAUCCCAGGUUUCUGUCUGAUGGAAAUAUGUUGUACUUUGACUCUAAGUUGUUUAAAUAAACAUCCCUUAUUAAAUAAAAA